rnacentral:rRNA from 1 species
GAUGAACGCUGGCGGUAUGCCUAACACGUGCAAGUCGAACGAAGUCUUCGGACUUAGUGGCGGACGGGUGAGUAACGCGUGAGAAUCUGCCUUCAGGACGGGGACAACAGUUGGAAACGACUGCUAAUACCCGAUAUGCCGAGAGGUGAAAUGUAUUUCGCCUGAAGAUGAGCUCGCGUCUGAUUAGCUAGUUGGUAGUGUAAUGGACUACCAAGGCGACGAUCAGUAGCUGGUCUGAGAGGAUGAGCAGCCACACUGGGACUGAGACACGGCCCAGACUCCUACGGGAGGCAGCAGUGGGGAAUUUUCCGCAAUGGGCGAAAGCCUGACGGAGCAAUACCGCGUGAGGGAGGAAGGUUCUUGAACUGUAAACCUCUUUUCUC